UUGAACUUUACCAGCAGAGUGAAGUAGUCACCACAAAAUGUCUACAAACACACUAUGCCAUGAUCAAAGGACAUUCCAAAAGAAAAUGUUGUUACAAUCAGUUGUUAUAUCAGCCUGGAAAUGGUUACAAAGCCAUUUCUAAGGCGAUAAGACUCCACUAAACCACAGUGAGAGACAUUAUCUCCAAAUAGAGAAUAAUUAAAACAGUGAUGAAUCUUCCCAGGUGUGGCUGGCCUGCUGAAGAUUUUCCAAGGGCGCAGCAACAACUCUUCCAGGAAGUCACUAAAGAUCCCAGAAGAACAUCCAGAGAACUUCAAGAAGCCUCUUUUGCUUCAGAUAAGACCUGGCUCUCUCCUCGCAGCCUGGAGGGAGGAAUAAACAAGCACCUCUGGGAGAGAGUAUAGAUGGCCAGGGGCUGGGGGUGAGGGAGUGGGUGGGGGGAGGGGGCAUCUCUUAAUGUUGAAAGCUGUACAUACAAGCAGAAUUUUCCUGUGCUCAACUUACAAAAACUAGAGUACUGUUGAAAUCAAUUGUUCUUUGUUCAUUCAAACACAAGAAUGCCCCCUAGACAUACCUCUUAAUGUUAAUACUAUUGUAUGACUUUGAUGGAAAUCAUUAGUUUUUAUAAAAUGUGUUCACUAAAAUUUUUACCUCAAUAUAUAGUUCAUUUUCUCUAAUAA